rnacentral:rRNA from 1 species
AGAGUUUGAUCCUGGCUCAGGACGAACGCUGGCGGCGCGCCUAACACAUGCAAGUCGAACGAGAGAUGAGGAGCUUGCUCUUCAAAUCGAGUGGCGAACGGGUGAGUAACGCGUGAGGAACCUGCCUCAAAGAGGGGGACAACAGUUGGAAACGACUGCUAAUACCGCAUAAGCCCACGGCUCGGCAUCGAGCAGAGGGAAAAGGAGCAAUCCGCUUUGAGAUGGCCUCGCGUCCGAUUAGCUAGUUGGUGAGGUAACGGCCCACCAAGGCGACGAUCGGUAGCCGGACUGAGAGGUUGAACGGCCACAUUGGGACUGAGACACGGCCCAGACUCCUACGGGAGGCAGCAGUGGGGAAUAUUGCACAAUGGGGGAAACCCUGAUGCAGCGACGCCGCGUGGAGGAAGAAGGUCUUCGGAUUGUAAACUCCUGUUGUUGAGGAAGAUAAUGACGGUACUCAACAAGGAAGUGACGGCUAACUACGUGCCAGCAGCCGCGGUAAAACGUAGGUCACAAGCGUUGUCCGGAAUUACUGGGUGUAAAGGGAGCGCAGGCGGGAGAACAAGUUGGAAGUGAAAUCCAUGGGCUCAACCCAUGAACUGCUUUCAAAACUGUUUUUCUUGAGUAGUGCAGAGGUAGGCGGAAUUCCCGGUGUAGCGGUGGAAUGCGUAGAUAUCGGGAGGAACACCAGUGGCGAAGGCGGCCUACUGGGCACCAACUGACGCUGAGGCUCGAAAGUGUGGGUAGCAAACAGGAUUAGAUACCCUGGUAGUCCACACCGUAAACGAUGAUUACUAGGUGUUGGAGGAUUGACCCCUUCAGUGCCGCAGUUAACACAAUAAGUAAUCCACCUGGGGAGUACGACCGCAAGGUUGAAACUCAAAGGAAUUGACGGGGGCCCGCACAAGCAGUGGAGUAUGUGGUUUAAUUCGACGCAACGCGAAGAACCUUACCAAGUCUUGACAUCCCUUGACGAUGCUGGAAACAGCAUUUCUCUUCGGAGCAAGGAGACAGGUGGUGCAUGGUUGUCGUCAGCUCGUGUCGUGAGAUGUUGGGUUAAGUCC